rnacentral:lncRNA from 1 species
GGGAAGGCCAGGGCAGGCGGCUGAGAUGAAAGUGGUGGGCAGGCAGGUGGCCUCUCCCCUGCCCUGUCAGCACUUUUUAAUGUCCCCUGGUUAGAAUGUGUGGGAGGAGUGGGGCGAGGGAAGCUGGAGCUCACCUUUCCCAGGCCCCAAAGGAGGGGGCUGGGGCAGCCCGGGUUGGGUGGGAGGAAUGCAGCUCCUCCUGGAACUGAAAGGAAGAGCCUGGCUCCUGCCCCGGUCCCCUCCCCACCUCUACAUUGCCCUCUCUCAGUCUGUCUAGAGGAGGCGGGGUAGGGAAGCACUGGGAAAUCAGAUGAGCAGAAAGGGAGGCGGAAGAGAUGGCUCUGUGGGGUGUGGGUGUGCACACUUGCACACAUAUGCAUGCAGGUUACUAUCCGGGGGUUUGCAUUUGAACCUGAGUAAAUAAAUGCAUUUGAGGCUGAGUUCAUGGAACUGUGUCAGUGAGACCAUGUGGGUGUUUGGGUUCAGCUCUCUGUGUGGGAAUUUAAAUUUUAAAACAGGGACUUUGGUCCUGACUUGGCCUUGGCUUUGGGCAGGUCAUUCAACCUCCUUCAGCUGUGUUGCUUCAACUCUAAGGCAGAGAAGAGGGUAUCCUGUUUCACAGGAUGGUCAUGAGGCUUAAACAAAUGGAAAUGUCCCACUGCGAGUCACCCUAUAGGUAUGCAGUUUUGUUGUUAAUAAUUGCAUGUGAGGUGUGUUGGGUGACUGUGGGUGAUAGAGUAGGGAUGUCUGGGGGCCUGAGGGUCUUUAUGAAUGAGUCACAGUGGGUGUCUGGCCAAGAGAACCAGAUGUUCAUAAGUAUGAGCUCUCUUUGCAAUGAGUCUGGUGAGUGUGAACUGGGAAGAUAGACAUGUGGGCAUCAUGCUGGGGUAUAUGAACACGUCUGUGGGGUGGAGGGUGCUGAGGGAUGGCCUGUGACUGAGUGUGCACGUCCUUGUUACUGUGUGUGUCUGCUUGCACUAGGUUCUUUUGUGUCUCUUGGGGCACAUAUGAGUUGCCGUGGAGCCCUAGAUGGAUGUGUGUAUCCCGGAGUGUAUGCAGGCCAUGUGGGGAUGUGUAGGGACAGGAUUGGUGUAUCUUUGUGUCCAGUGUGGAUAUCUGGCUAUAUGUCCCAAGGUGAGCCUGACUGAAUGUGCCUUUGUCUCGGUCGUGUGUGAUGGCAGGGUGUAAUGCCUUGGUGUGGCUGCGUGUGACUGUGUGUGUGUGACAGUGUGUGUGCGUGUGUGCGAGUGUGUGUUUGGUGAGCGGCUCUGCUGCCUUAAGCACCUUUCGAAUACAUUGGCCACAGCUCAUUGAAUCCUUUAACAAUCUGACUCUGCUCUUCCUUCCCCGUUUUUUCUAAUUCAGUUCCUCUUAUUACAAAAAUAAAAAAUAAAGCGCUGCCCCUUUCCAGUGGCUGGCCCUGCGGAGCCCCCGCCUCGGGACCAGCCUCGUUUCACUCCAUUUCGGAGAAAACGGGAAGUCAGUAAUUUUAAAAAAUAUUUUCUACUUUAUUUGGGAUUUAAUGUUCUUACAGAAUCCUGCUG